GGAUUCUGGGACAGAAAAAGAACAUUACGUAAAAUUAAGGAAAUCUGAAUAAAAACCACCCAUGGCCCACUCCAUGCCCUCAUCUUGUGCCCGUGAAAACUGCAGGCUCAGCCAGCAAAGGCAGGAGAAGCAGCUGGACAUCAGAGAGAAGUGCCUUACUUCAGAGGGACAGCUCGACGGUGUAAAUUUCAAGAAGAAUCCCAGGAGACAGCUGGACUUUGAGGGAAGAUUACCUUCCUUCUCUGUCUGCUUUUCAGCUCCUCUUCCCUCUGAGAGCCACGUCCAACAGCAAUAAAAUCCCCCACAUUUACCAUCCU
rnacentral:lncRNA from 1 species